GACGAACGCUGGCGGCGUGCUUAACACAUGCAAGUCGAGCGGUAAGGCCCUUUCGGGGGUACACGAGCGGCGAACGGGUGAGUAACACGUGGGUGACCUGCCCUCAGCUCUGGGAUAAGCCUGGGAAACUGGGUCUAAUACUGGAUAUGACUCCACGGUGCAUGUCGUGGGGUGGAAAGCCUUGUGCGGCUGAGGAUGGGCCCGCGGCCUAUCAGCUUGUUGGUGGGGUGANGGCCUACCAAGGCGACGACGGGUAGCCGGCCUGAGAGGGCGACCGGCCACACUGGGACUGAGACACGGCCCAGACUCCUACGGGAGGCAGCAGUGGGGAAUCCUGCGCAAUGGGCGAAAGCCUGACGCAGCGACGCCGCGUGAGGGAUGACGGCCUGG
rnacentral:rRNA from 1 species